ensembl:lncRNA
AGAAUUGUUAACUAGGUAUAACAAUAUAAAGAAGAGGAUUAAGGCAAGAAGAGAAUACUAAGGUAUCAAGGAGGUAGGAAUUACAAAAAAAGCCGCCCUCUCCGGGGCUGGGGGAACAAGUGAAGAGGUUGAAAUUAUUAAAAUUUAGAAGAAACUUAGAGGAGGGAACUUACAGCAUUGAAACUCAGACCCCUGAGGAGCGGAAUUUUGUUCAGCUGGUGCUGUAAGCUUGGAGGAGCAUCCCCAUGUGGCUGGGACCAGACCUCCGAGGAGGGAGCACUGAUUGGUUAGUGGUGGUUCUCUGAAUGUGGAACACUCAGGCUGACUCUUUAAAUGUUGGAAAAACUGCACACUGGAUUUAGCUACUGCAAAGUUUAAGCAAGGAUGCUGUAGGUGUAAAAAGUUGUCAGGGGUAAUUUUGACCGGAAGGGGAGGCAGAGAGGGAGGAGCAAGUCCCUUUUUCCUCUUUCAGCCUUUCUCUCCCCUUCAAGUACCCCUUAUUGCCAGAGGCUAACCAGGUGCCAGAUGGUGAAUUGGAAAUACUGUGUGCAAUUUCAGCACCAGAAUCGCAGAGUUUACAAGGAUGGGAUUGGAGUGGAAAGACGACCCAAAGUGGCAGGGCAACUGUGAUGAAAUGCGAAGUCUGAACAUCUUUUCUAGCCAUCUUCCUAGUCUCCUCUUUUGGUGAAUUUCAUUCAGUGACUGGCCAGAAGGACCCAGAAAGACUCUGGACCUGCUCCAUAGGUCUUCGCCAUUAGUGCGAGUCAGAGAUCUCAGUCUCUGUGCUUUCCACAACAAGUUCCAGAUUCCUGGGAGAGAAUUUUAUCAUCUCAACUUGAGUGCUGCAUCUGCAACUACACCAUGAGCUGUGAUCACAUGGCAGAAUUUGACAGUAUAGAUAUUACUGUUGGGCCCACUUGGAGACAACUCAAAGUCCUAUCCAUUUAUUGUAUUUUGAGGUUUAUUUUUUCCUACAAACUCAAUCAUGCCCAGAUGACUGCUGCCAUAGUCAACAUUGUGUUACCAGGCACCGGUCAGCUUGAACUCACAGAGCUCUUCAGGCCUGUCAUUUUCCUGGGUAUUCCUUCCAUCAGCUUCUCUUGCAGGCCUGGAUUUUCCUAUCAACAAAGACCUUGCAGAGUUCAUUAGUUGGAAUGGACACUUUGGGAUUCUGAGCAGCCCUUUACAACCCUCACUUUCUGUUCAGCCUUUCCAGCUGGUGACUCUUGGUAUUUAAAGUGCCUUUAAUUUUAUCCAACAGAUGUGUUAUGUCUCCUCAUUUUUUUUGCGAUUAUUUAUAAUGCUGAAUAUUCUUAAACAUGUAUUUUUGUAUGUAUGUAUGUAUAUUUCUUUAUCACAAAUACCUAGAAAUGGAAUUGCUAGAUUAAAGACUAUAUGACUUAAGAUUUUUCUAGACCUUGCUUAACAACUAUCCAUAAAGGCUAUAAAAAGUGGACAUUCCCACCAAAUGAGCAUAUAAAUAUCUCUUUUUCUCCCAUUUCCAGUAUUUCCCAUCUGACAUUUUGAAAUUUUAAAGGUUUUGCCAAUGUGAUAGGUAAAAAAUUACACCUAAUACCUGUUUUCAUUUUGCACCUCCUGGAUUUCUAACAAGGCUGAACAUCUUUCAUUAUAUUUGUUAAUUUCUAGUAUUUAUGUUUCUAGUGUAAGUAGCCUUUUCAAAUUCUUCACCCAUUUUUCCACCAUGUUGUUUAUCUGCUUCUCAAUAAUUUCUAGGAGCUCUUUGAAAAUUAAAGCAAUUAAUUUUUGUCAGUAAUAUUUUACAAAAUAUUUUUCUAAGUUUACCAACUGUUUUUUUUUUUUUUUGAUGAGGAACAUUCACACUGAGCUAACAUCUUUUGCCAAUCUUCAUCUUUUGCUUGAGGAAGAUUGUUGCUGAGCUAAAAUCUGUGCCCAUCUUCUGCUAUUUUGUAUGUGGGAUGCCUCCACAGCGUGGCUUGAUGAGCAGUGUGUAGGUCUGUGCCCGGGAUCUGAGCUGACGAACCCUGGGCAACCAAAGCAGAGCGUGUGGACUUAACUACUACAUUGCCAGGCUGGCCCCUGUCGAUUGGUUUCUAAACUCUAUGGAUUUUUAAAAUUUUUUUACUGUAUGGAAAUUUUGGAUUCUUAGAAAGUAAAAUUUUCAUGGAUUUUUUAGUGUCUUAUUAAGAAGAUUCCACUCAUGCAAGGACUACAAAUAUAUUCUUUAAAAAUUUCUUCUCCAUUCACAACAAAAUGGAUGGACCUUGAGGAUAUUAUGUUAAGCAAAAUAAGCCAGCUAGAGAACACUGUAUGAUUCCACUGAUAUUUGGAAGACAGACAAACACAUGGACGAAGAGAACUGUAUAGCGGUUACAGGGGGAAGACAGGAGGGGGGUGAGCACAAAGAGUGAAAGGGCACACCUAUGAGAUGACUGACAUAAUAAUG